rnacentral:rRNA from 1 species
AUUGAACGCUGGCGGCAUGCCUUACACAUGCAAGUCGAACGGCAGCACGGGGGCAACCCUGGUGGCGAGUGGCGAACGGGUGAGUAAUAUAUCGGAACGUGCCCUGGAGUGGGGGAUAACUAGUCGAAAGAUUAGCUAAUACCGCAUACGAUCUACGGAUGAAAGUGGGGGACCGCAAGGCCUCAUGCUCGUGGAGCGGCCGAUAUCUGAUUAGCUAGUUGGGGGGUAAGAGCCCACCAAGGCAACGAUCAGUAGCUGGUUUGAGAGAACGACCAGCCACACUGGGACUGAGACACGGCCCAGACUCCUACGGGAGGCAGCAGUGGGGAAUUUUGGACAAGUGGGGGCAACCCUGAUCCAGCAAUGCCGCGUGUGUGAAGAAGGCCU